rnacentral:rRNA from 1 species
AUUGAACGCUGGCGGCAGGCUUAACGCAUUCAAGUCUAACGGGUGGCGGACGGGUGAGUAAUGUCUGGGAAACUGCCCGAUGGAGGGGGAUCACUACUGGAAACGGUAGCUAAUACCGCAUACCAUCGGAUGUGCCCAGAUGGGAUUAGCUAGUGGGUGGGGUAAAGGCUCACCUAGGCCACGAUCCCUAGCUGGUCUGAGAGUAUGACCAGCCACACGGGAACUGAGACACGGUCCAGACGCCUACGGGAGGAAGCAGUGGGGAAGAUUGCACAAUUGGGGCAAGCCUGAGGCAGCCAUGCCGCGUGUAUGAAGAUGGCCUUCGGGUUGUAAAGGACUUUCAGCGAGGAGGCGUUACUCGCAGAAGAAGCACCGGCUAACUCCGUGCCAGCAGCCGCGGUAAUAC